UACGUAGGGAGCAAGCGUUGUUCGGAUUUACUGGGCGUAAAGGGCGCGUAGGCGGCCUGCUAAGUCGAACGUGAAAUCCCUGGGCUCAACCCAGGAACUGCGUCCGAUACUGGUUGGCUUGAAUCCGGGAGAGGGACGUGGAAUUCCAGGUGUAGCGGUGAAAUGCGUAGAUAUCUGGAGGAACACCGGUGGCGAAGGCGACGUCCUGGACCGGCAUUGACGCUGAGGCGCGAAAGCGUGGGGAGCAAACAGG
rnacentral:rRNA from 1 species